rnacentral:rRNA from 1 species
GAUGAACGCUGGCGGCGUGCUUAACACAUGCAAGUCGAACGGAAAGGCCCAAGCUUGCUUGUGUCCUCGAUUGGCGAACGGGUGAGUAACACGUGGGUGAUCUGCCCUGCACUUCGGGAUAAGCCUGGGAAACUGGGUCUAAUACCGGAUAGGACCACUUCUUGGAUGUUGUGGUGGAAAGUUUUUUCGGUUUGGGAUGAGCUCGCGGCCUAUCAGCUUUUUGGUGGGGUAAUGGCCUACCAAGGCGUCGACGGGUAGCCGGCCUGAGAGGGUGUACGGCCACAGUGGGACUGAGAUACGGCCCAGACGCCUACGGGAGGCAGCAGUGGGGAAGAGUGCACAAUGGGCGCAAGCCUGAUGCAGCGACGCCGCGUGGGGGAUGACGGCCUUCGGGUUGUAAACUACUUGCGCUAGGGACGAAGCGUUUUGUGACGGUACCUGGAGAAGAAGCACCGGCUAACUACGUG